rnacentral:rRNA from 1 species
UGAGGAAUAUUGGUCAAUGGGAGAGAUCCUGAACCAGCCAAGCCGCGUGAGGGAAGACGGCACUACGUGUUGUAAACCUCUUUUGCCGGGGAACAAAAGCGGGGACGCGUCCCCGUCCGCGUGUACCCGGAGAAAAGCAUCGGCUAACUCCGUGCC